GACGUAGGAUGCAAGCGUUGUCCGGAUUUAUUGGGCGUAAAGAGUUCGUAGGCGGUUCGUUAAGUCUGGUGUUAAAGAUCGGGGCUCAACCCCGGGAGUGCACUGGAUACUGGCGGACUCGAGUGUGGUAGAGGCAAGUGGAAUUCCCAGUGUAGCGGUGAAAUGCGUAGAUAUUGGGAAGAACACCGGUGGCGCAAGCGACUUGCUGGGCCAUUACUGACGCUGAGGAACGAAAGCUAGGGGAGCGAAU
rnacentral:rRNA from 1 species